GGGGAAUCUUGCGCAAUGGGCGAAAGCCUGACGCAGCAACGCCGCGUGCGGGAUGAAGGCCUUCGGGUUGUAAACCGCUUUCAGCAGGGACGAACGUGACGGUACCUGCAGAAGAAGCCCCGGCUAACUACGUGCCAGCAGCCGCGGUAAUACGUAGGGGGCAAGCGUUAUCCGGAUUUAUUGGGCGUAAAGAGCGCGUAGGCGGUCUGUUAAGCGAGAUGUGAAAACCGGGGGCUCAACCCGCGGCCUGCAUCUCGAACUGGCAGACUUGAGUCUGGUAGAGGAAAGUGGAAUUCCUGGUGUAGCGGUGAAAUGCGCAGAUAUCAGGAGGAACACCAGUGGCGAAGGCGGCUUUCUGGGCCACGACUGACGCUGAGGCGCGAAAGCUAGGGGAGCGAAC
rnacentral:rRNA from 1 species